UGGCUCACUAAGAAUAGAAGAAGACUCUUAUAAGGCCAUUAUCUGCACAAGGAACAACCGAUGCUCUUUCUUUGUUUAAGUAUAAGCCUAUAAAAUUCUUUUAUUACAGUUACUUGGCAAUAUCUAAGGCUGUUUGGAUCAUGACAUUAAUGAACCAACAGUAUCACUUUACAAACCUCUCAUAUUAGAUACACAACAGUAUCACUUUACAAACCUCUCAUAUUACAAAUCCCUUAUGGAAGCCUAAACCCGUCAUUGCUUCAUUUUCAUUGCACACAACAGUGCAUUUAAAAACACUGAAGAGGAAGAGGAAGAAUUUGCAGCUAACUUGGCCUUUGAAUGAUCUGGUCACACUCUGGUUUGCUGCAGGGGAAUUCAACUGUGAGCUAAUUUAACAUAGUCUACAGCCUUACCACUUUCAAUCUCUUAAGGAUGCUAUCAAAUUGUGCCGUAUCAAAUGCCCAAGGGUUUGGCUUUUCCAAACCAACACCUAUUAAAAACCAGAGCAGAACAUAGUUACAAAUUCAUCAUCUCACAUUUUAUUGCUAACAUUGUUCCAAAUCGAAUAAUUCAUCUCAACUACUAGAAUUAGUAAUUUUUACAUCCAUUUCUUAAAAAAAAUCAGCAAUUGAUCAUAGAACAAAUAUUUCCGAAUUUUAAUAAAUAAACCGAAAAACAAAAAAGGGUAAUAAUAAAAUUACCAGAAGUAUCCUGUUUGUUCUUAGGGUCAUGACCUUUAAUCCCUUGCUUCUCUUUCCCAAGACCUUCGCCUUCUUCCCACCCCUGCAAAUAAAUUAUAUUCCUACCUCAAUUUGAAAGCUUCGGGUUGAAAUUACUCUGAUAAACAAGUGAUAAUUCAAGGGUUUAUAUAUGUAUGUAUGUAUACAGACAGAUAUAUAAAGCUAACCAUUUGUUUCAUGAGGCGGAAGGCGGCGAACUUUUUAGCAAUUCAAAAUAAAAAAAAAAAAAAAAUCCAGAGUUAUAAAAAUACAAAAUAGUAUUGGUAACCAGUAUGCCAUAUUUAUGUUUGAUGAAGGGAUGCUUCAUAAUGUUUCUUAAAAGAAAACAUUUUCUUUUUUACCAUGGAAUGAGAUAAGAACCAUGAGGACUACAAAGACAGCAGAUGUCUUCUUCAUCUUCAACAAAUAUGGAAUAUAUAUUAAGGCUAUGUUUUAUGUUUGGGAUAAAUAAACAAAGAGUGUCUAUAUACAUAGUUUGUAAGAUGUGGCAAUAUAAGCGUGAAAACUGUGAAAAUUUGGAUUCAAAGUUUUGUUACUGCAUAUAUAUAUAUAUAUAUAUAUAUUCUCAAAACUUGCAAAUUUAAAUGCUUUUAUUGUGAGAAAAGAAGCUGAAAACACCAUAAGUAAAUGAUUCACUAAAUGUGCUUAAAAAUUAAUAGCACUCUUUAUUUUACAAAGAUGGAUUGUCUAAACAUUAACUGAACCGUUGAAAAUGUAGCUAUAACUAGCAUCUCAUUAACAGCUUUUAGUAAUAACAUUAUGCAGUAGUAUAUAAUUUUUUCCUUUUCUUUUUCUUGAAAAGUAAACAAAUACUAAUAGAACAAGUACAGAAUACAGAGCAAGUGUUAUGCGUUCUGGAAAUGUAAACAGGUGGACCAUGUUCCUUAAAAGGGAAUUUCAAUUGAUUCCACAAGUGCAGUAAAAAUUACUUUUAGCUUUAACAAUUCAAAAUAUAGAACCUAACUCUAUGGAACAAAAACAUAAUAAUUUUGCAGAUUAUAGGGUUUGGCCCUCAUAAAUUUUAAGCCCUAAAAAGUUAUUAUUGAACACCAAAUCACAAAUUGGAACGAAUCUAAGUCUGAUUUCAACCCAUAAAACAAGAAAAUCGUUACCCAAAGUUCUAAUUUUGUUACCUUGCCACUAAAUCGACGAGAAAGGGAGAAGGGGCCGUUGGAUGCGAAGGCGUCGGUUCCUCGCGAAGAGAGAGGGAGAAGGCGGAGAUAUAUAUCGCGAAGAGAGAGGGAUAAAGUAGAGAUUCGUGAGGCUUAGAGAUCGAGAAGGGGUCUAUUCUUUUUGGCGAGAUGGGUUUCAGUCUUCGCAACGAACGAGAGGGAGAGAGAAGGUAACAAAAAUCGCGGCUUUUUUUUUUAGCCGAGUGUCUAAUUAGGAGAGAGAAGAAAAAGGAGAGUAUAUAUAGG
rnacentral:lncRNA from 1 species